CACAUGAUAGGAGCUUCAAAAAGCAAUGGGCUGGAUUCAACUGGAGGGUGCACACAGCAGAUGUGACGUUAAGAAAUUGGUAGCAGUGCCGUGGACAUCUGGUAGCAUCCAGCAAAGGGAGUCCGGGGUUUUCAGGAAGCGGACGUAAAUUAGAAAGGAGGGAGCCAACCGCCACACUUUUUUUCUUAGCUUUUUGAACGUUGUUUUGAGACAUGGGAUGAAUUGGAGAGAAGCAUGCUGUUUUCGGCCAGCAUUUUUUGCUGCAAGCGGUAUGCACAAGCUGAAGUGGUCAUUCCAUUUGGAGCAGGAAGCACACAAGAUGUGGUGCUGAUUCACUUUCAUUUUGGAGUGUCACACGCUGAAUUCAUUUACUUUGCUGAAAUGAAGUAGCGUAGUCCUAGAUUUUAUUUUCAAUGUCAUACGUUUUUAAUUUGUUGUUUGCUUUAUGAAUGUGUUGAAGCUGCUGAAUAGAGCAUUUCACCUUUUAACUCAAUAUUGCAAUUUACUAGC
rnacentral:sRNA from 1 species